rnacentral:rRNA from 1 species
UGCGUAGGCGGUUUGGAAAGUCAGAUGUGAAAGCCUACAGCUUAACUGUAGAACUGCAUUUGAAACUUCCAGACUAGAAUACUGAAGGGGCAGAUGGAAUUAGUGGUGUAGGGUAAAAUCCGUAGAUAUCACUAGGAAUACCGAAAGCGAAAGCGAUCUGCUGGGAAGUUAUUGACGCUGAGGCACGAAAGCGUGGGGAGCAAACG